CCGGGUUCUACUGCAGUGGAGGAAGCCUUUCCCCCAGACCUCCCAGGCCAACUGCCAGUGGAGGUCCCUGUCCCCCUGGGCAUUUCUGUGAGGAGGGGAGCAGCAGAGCCCAGCCGUGCCCUGCAGGGACCUACAGCCCAUCCUGGAGAGGGACACGGUGCCUGCAGUGCCCAGAGGGCUUUUACUGCACCUCUGCCUCCACCAACUACACGGAUUGUCCUCAAGGUCACUACUGCCCCAGCAGCACAGAAUUUGCCACACAGCAUCCUUGUCCCCCUGGAACCUACAGUGAAGCCCUCAACCUCUGGGAUGCUUCCAAGUGCCAGCUGUGUCCUCCUGGAAGGGUUUGUUCCAGGCCAGGCCUGGCGAGGCCAGAUGGGCUCUGCACGCCUGGCUGGUUUUG
rnacentral:lncRNA from 1 species